rnacentral:rRNA from 1 species
AUUGAACGCUGGCGGCAGGCUUAACACAUGCAAGUCGAGCGGGGUGAUGGUGCUUGCACUAUCACUUAGCGGCGGACGGGUGAGUAAUGCUUAGGAAUCUGCCUAUUAGUGGGGGACAACAUCUCGAAAGGGAUGCUAAUACCGCAUACGUCCUACGGGAGAAAGCAGGGGAUCACUUGUGACCUUGCGCUAAUAGAUGAGCCUAAGUCGGAUUAGCUAGUUGGUGGGUAAAGGCCUACCAAGGCGACGAUCUGUAGCGGGUCUGAGAGGAUGAUCCGCCACACUGGGACUGAGACACGGCCCAGACUCCUACGGGAGGCAGCAGUGGGGAAUAUUGGACAAUGGGGGGAACCCUGAUCCAGCCAUGCCGCGUGUGUGAAGAAGGCCUUAUGGCUGUAAAGCACUUUAAGCGAGGAGGAGGCUCUUUUGGUUAAUACCCAAGAUGAGUGGACGUUACUCGCAGAAUAAGCACCGGCUAACUCUGUGCCAGCCGCCGCAGUAA